rnacentral:tmRNA from 1 species
GGGGACGACUUGGCUUCGACUGGAGUUGAUGGUCUGUAAUCGCAUGUCGGACUGAGCAUUUCCGUUACACGGCUCACAAUUGCUUAAACGCAAACAAUACAAAUUACCGCCCAGCUUUAGCAGUAGCUUAAGUUUUAACCCCCUCUUAGAGGACGGGCUGCUUCACCUAUGGACUCUGGAUAGAUAGGAUUCGAAGUAUAACCCUUAUGUAGAUAUAUACUAAGUUUGUCUCAUCUUAGUAUGAAUUUAGAGGCUCGUUUUGUGUAGCUUUGCAAGUUGUGUGAAGCAAAAUUAAACUUUUAACAACUUCUCUAAGCAUGUAGACGUUACAGAAACUCAACUUUAGGACUGCGGUUCGAUCCCGCACGUCUCCACCA